CGGAAGAGGCGCAAUAAACAUUUGGUCUUCGCAUUAUGUAGACAUUUAAAUGAUCGAAAAGUCCUGUUCCAGUGUUAGUGAAGCCUCAAGUUCUGGCUUUACAGACUCUUUAGGAUUAUCACAAUUUAUUAUACUCUUCUGGAACCUGUGUUGCAACACUGGCUGAAAACAGGGCUCCACUUCAUUUAAUUCCUGGAUACGUUGGGAGAGUUGCCUCGAUGCAUCUCGCUCUUCAUUCAGGCAUUGUCUCUGCAGGGAAUCUAACACCUCAGCAGUUCCAGCCGCACAGGGACAACGCUGGAUUCUGUUUAGCGUUGCUGUCGGCAGCCGUUCCCUGUGGGUGAGAGGCUGCAGAGUCCUGCUCACGGACAGACCACCCAACCUCCCUGUGGAUGGAGGAGGAGUGUGCCAGGAGGGUGCGUUAUGGGCAAAACUCUGCCAACCUGUCUGGACGAGUUCCAGUCUUUGUAACUGCACAACAAGACACACUAUGGCCUUGGUUGCACCAUUUCAAUGACUGUUGUCAGCUGCUACAGAAUGAUCUGCUCAUUAUCAGCAGCGGAAGCUCAUUAAGGCCUAGAUACCGAGCAGAUAAUUGGAGGAUGCAGGACUGUGUCUAUGGGGGCACUGAUGUGUAGGGGGACUGGGCUUCAUCAUAAAAGUUACAUUAGGUGCAGUGAAACAUGAAGCAGCUCCACAAUGUAGUCAGUCUGGCCUGCUGACAAUCCUGCUGCAUUCUUUGGAAACUAAGCGACUGGCACCAAGCAACAAACCAAAGACCCUCAUCAGCAGCUCGCAGCAGCUGCCAGGAGAGCUGGAACCAGGAAAGCUGCUUAAAUCUGGGCCUUAGACGGACUUCAUGAGCCAGACUGACUCAGACCUACACAAAUUCUAAAACCGUGUGCAAUUGCAUGAUAGAGGCUUGAUUGCAUAUUAUUUGGAAAUCUUGAGAUAAAGACACGCAUGGUUUUGAGAUCCAGACAGUUUGUCUCCAUGAUCUACUAAAACACUUCAUGGGAGACAAGUUUU